rnacentral:lncRNA from 1 species
ACAUUACUACACAUCAAAUGCAACACCAUUCCUUGUUUAAUACCAUCAGCCGACAAGGAAUCAAUAAAGGAAAAUCAUUAAAGCAAUAAAGGAAAAUCAUUAAGGUUAGUGGAAAGAAAUAAGUGUGCUGCCACCAUCCUUUGAUCCCCACCUCUUCAACCACCAAAAGCCAUGCUUUCCUCCCUUUACAGCCACCAACUUCACUCCUU